UAAUCCCUCUAAUCUCUUCUCUCUAGCAGCCCUACUCCUCCUCCCGUCGCCCUCCCCCUGCCGCCCUCCUCCCGCCGCCCUCCUCUUCUCAUCUCUUCUCUCCUUCCCUCCCGUCUCUUCUCACCGGCGAGACAAAUCGGCAUAUCUCUCGUCUCUCCAAUCAACAUCAACAGCCGGCGAGGAGAGCAACAUCUCCGGCCAACUGAGCUCGACGUCGAUCCACUGCCCUUCUCCUUUAAUUGAAGGN
rnacentral:lncRNA from 1 species